GGCUCAGGAUGAACGCUGGCGGCGUGCCUAAUACAUGCAAGUCGAACGGAGCUUUGUAUUCGUACGAAGCUUAGUGGCGAACGGGUGAGUAACGCGUUGGUGACCUGCCCCGAAGAGAGGGACAACAGCUCGAAAGGGCUGCUAAUACCUCAUGUGGUCGUAAGGGUUAGAGGCCUUACGUCUAAAUGGAGUAAUCCGCUUCGGGAGGGGCCUGCGUCCCAUCAGCUUGUUGGUAGGGUAACGGCCUACCAAGGCGACGACGGGUAGGGGACCUGAGAGGGUGACCCCCCACACUGGCACUGAAACACGGGCCAGACACCUACGGGUGGCAGCAGUAGGGAAUAUUGCACAAUGGGCGAAAGCCUGAUGCAGCAACGCCGCGUGCACGAUGAAGGCCUUCGGGUCGUAAAGUGCUUUUCGGGGAGAUGAGGAAGGACAGUAUCCCCGGAAUAAGGAUCGGCUAACUACGUGCCAGCAGCCGCGGUAAAACGUAGGAUCCGAGCGUUAUCCGAAUUUACUGGGCGUAAAGCGCGUGUAGGCGGUUCGGUAAGUUGGAUGUGAAAUCUCCUGGCUCAACUGGGAGAGGUCGUUCAAUACUGUCGGACUAGAGGGUGGUAGAGGGAGGUGGAAUUCCCGGUGUAGUGGUGAAAUGCGUAGAUAUCGGGAGGAACACCAGUGGCGAAAGCGGCCUCCUAGACCGCUCCUGACGCUCAGACGCGAAAGCUAGGGGAGCAAACGGGAUUAGAAACCCCGGUAGUCCUAGCUGUAAACGAUGUGGACUUGGCGUUGGUGGGGUAAAAGCCAUCAGUGCCGAAGCUAACGCGAUAAGUCCACCGCCUGGGGACUACGGCC
rnacentral:rRNA from 1 species